ACCCGCUGAACUUAAGCAUAUUACUCAGUGGUGGAAGAGAAAACAACCGUGAUUGUCCCAGUAACUGCGAGUGAAGCGACAAGAGCCCAGCGCUGAAGGCUGGCGGUAAGGCAGCGCCGGCCAAUGUAGCGUAGGCCAGACCUCGGUGGCGGUUUGCGGCGUUGCAAGCGGCUUGAAAGCGUGCACCAGAGAGGGUAAAAGUCCCGUGAGAGCCGCAGGCCGCCAGGUCAUGGCAAGAGUCGGGUAGCUUGGGAUUGCUGCCUGAAGCUGGUGGUACACUCCACCAAAGGCUAAAUACGGACACAAAGCCGAUAGCGAACAAGUACUGUGAAGGAAAGUUGAAAAGGCGUCUGAAGAGACGGUUAAAAGUUCGUGAAACCGCUAACAGGGAAGCAGACGGCGGCGUUGUGGUGUCGCGGCAGCUGUAUAUAGCAGGCGUAAAGUUUUGGCUUGAAUUCUAGCCGCGGCACGCGUCCAGGCAGGCCAGAGUUGGCGGCUUGGCUGGUUGUGGCUCGCUGCUCGCCUUGCCUAGAUAUUGUGGGUCGAAAGCGAGGGAGCGCGGGUCGAGCAAGCCGAAAGUUGUGGCAACUGUGACCUAGGGUUGCGAGAGGGCGAGUCCCGGUAGCGAGACGGCGGUUGUGCAGUGUGCAAGCGUGAGGCUGGCGGGGGGCUGGCGCCAGAGUUGGGCGAGAAGGCUAGCCGUCUGACCCGUCUUGAAACACGGACCAAGGAGGCUGAGCCGGGAGCGAGUCGUGGAGUGGAAAACUCGACGGCGUAGGUAAGCCAGCGUCAGUGAGCCCGCUAGAGUGUUUGAAGCGAGGCGCAACUGAGCCCGCUGCUGGCGGCCUUGUGGUCAGCGGCAGCGAGGCCAAGCUCCCGGCGUAGAACCCGAAAGAUGGUGAACUAUACUUGACCAGGAUGAAGCCAUUGGAAACACUGGUGGAGGUCCCUACGAGUUUUGACGUGCAAAUCACAUUCGGUGAGUUGAGUAUAGGAGCGAAAGACUAAUCGAACCAUCUAGUAGCUGGUUCCCUUUGAAAUUUCCCUCAGGAUCGCUGGGGCGUGGUUGUACGUAGCUUCAUGGGGUAGAGCCAAUGAUUAGAGGGCUCGGGGUCUCUUGCACCUCGACCUAUUAUCACACUCCCAACCGGUGAUGGUGCAGUUGUUUGGAGCGCCGACAAGGCGAGUAAACUGGGCUGUGUGGUUGCGAGUACGCCGCUCCAAGUGGGCCAAUUUUGGUAAGCAGAACUGGCGAUGCGGGAUGAACCGAGAGGCGAGCUAAGGUGUCCAACGACACGCCAACGGACACCAUGAAAGGAGUCGGUCGAUAUAGACAGCAGGACGGUGUCCCUGAAAGUAGGAACCCGCCAAGGAGUGUCUAACAACUCACCUGCCGAACCGAGGGGCCCUGAAAAUGGAUGACCCUGAAGCGUGUGACCGACGCUCGUCGGCUGUGGUGUAUGUCGCACAGCGGGUAAAAGGGCGUGUCGGUGGCGGGUAAGACUUGGCGUGAGCGAGGUUGGAGCCGCCGACAGUGCAGAUCUUGGUGGUAGUAGCAUUGAUCAAGUUGGCAUAGACUUGAGGCCAAGUGGAGAAGGGUUCCGCGGCAAGAGCGUUUGACCGCGGGUGAGUCGGUCCUAAGCGGUGGCCUGCAGGCCGGCACCAAGCGGGUAAGAGACCCGGGCCGCGAAAGGGAAGCAAGCCAAAAUUCUUGCACCAAGCACCGAUGGGCUCGCUGACCGCAAGGCCGGCGAGCGAUGGCGGCGACGCAAGCGGUCUCGAGACCUAGCCAGCGAGCGAGGAGAGAUGUCUUUUCUGUUUAACAGGCGGCGAGCCCUCGGAAGCAAGUUGUUUGGCGAUGAGGCAGAGAGCCUGGAAUAGUGGCGCCUGUGUGUCACCGCGACUGCUGGGCUGGGCCAUGAAAAUUCGGGUGAUUGUCGCGUUGGUGCUUGGCCGUACCGAAACCGCAGCAGGUCUCCAAGGUGAGCAGCCUCUGGCCCUGGAAAAAAGUGGGUAAGGGAAGUAGGCAAAGUAGAUCCGUAACCUGGGGAGAAGGAUUGGCUCUGAGGAGUCGGCUGCGGGAAGCAGGCAAGCCGAAAGCUGGUGGCAAAUUUCUUGGUAGCGAGUUGCCAUUGUAGCCCAAGGCUGGUGGCAAUAAACUAGCUGGCGAGAUGCAUGCAAGCCGAGAGUUUGCGGCAAAUAACUAGCUAGCGAGGUCAUUCAAGCCGAAGGCUGGUGGCAAUAAACUACCUAGCGAGUUGCCAUUGUAGCCGAAUACUGGUGGCAAUAAGCUAGCUAGCGAGGUCAUGCAAGCCGAAGGCUGGUGGCAAUAAACUAGCUAGCGAGGUCAACCAAGCCGAAAGUUUGUGGCAACCAAUCGUGGCAAGCGACCGACUUGGAACCGUUACAUACUGGGGGAAUCCGACUGUCUAAUAACAACACAGCUUUGCGACGGCCGCAAGGCGGUGUUGACGCAAGGUGAAUUCUGCACAGUGCUUUGAAAGUCAAACUGUGGCAACACAACCAAGCACGGGUAAAUUGCGGGAGUAACUAUGACUCUCUUAAGCUAGCCAAAUGCCUCGUCAUCUAAUUAGUGACGUGCAUGAAUGGACCAACGAGAUUCCCGCUGUCCCUACCUUCUAUCCAGCGAAACGACAGCCAAGGAAACGGGCUUGGCUGAGACAGCGGGGAAAGAAGACCCUGUUGAGCUUGACUCUAGUUUGGUUGUGUGCGGAGGAGUCUGAGGUGUAGAUACGGGUGGGAGGCGCGUUCGCGUGCCGAGCGUGAAAGACCACUGCUCAGACGGCCUUCGGACUAAGCGAGUGAGGUGCUGCAGCCAUGAAACGGUGGGCAUGAGUCUUGUGACUAGACCAGAUGGGGAGUUUGACUGGGGCGGUACAUCCUCAAAAGUGCAACGAGGGUGUCCAAAGGCUGGCUCACGGUGGACAGAAACCUCCAGUGGAGCAAAAGGGCAAAAGCCAGCUUGAUUCGGGCGCUCAGUAGGCGUGCGAGCCGAGAAAUCAUGGCCUAUCGAUCCUUUGGUGGCUAGGUGUGUUAGGCCAGAGGUGUCAGAAAAGUUACCACAGGGAUAACUGGCUUGUGGCAGCCAAGCGUUCGUAGCGACGUUGCUUUUUGAUCCUUCGAUGUCGGCUCUUCCUAGCAUUGGGUAGCAGCCUGCCCAUAGUGUUGGAUUGUUCACCCACCAACAGGGAACGUGAGCUGGGUUUAGACCGUCGUGAGACAGGUUAGUUUUACCCUACUGUCUGUGGAGGCACUGCGAGAGUAGUCUCGCCUAGUACGAGAGGACCAGUGAGACCAGGGAAACGGUGGAGCGCUUGGUUGAUGGACCAAGGGUGCGAGGCUGUCCCCUGCGGGCUAAUGACUGAACGCCUCUAAGUCAGAA
rnacentral:rRNA from 1 species